rnacentral:rRNA from 1 species
AGUGAACGCUGGCGGUAGGCCUAACACAUGCAAGUCGAACGGCAGCACAGUAAGAGCUUGCUCUUACGGGUGGCGAGUGGCGGACGGGUGAGGAAUACAUCGGAAUCUACUUUUUCGUGGGGGAUAACGUAGGGAAACUUACGCUAAUACCGCAUACGACCUACGGGUGAAAGCAGGGGAUCUUCGGACCUUGCGCGAUUGAAUGAGUCGAUGUCGGAUUAGCUAGUUGGCGGGGUAAAGGCCCACCAAGGCGACGAUCCGUAGCUGGUCUGAGAGGAUGAUCAGCCACACUGGAACUGAGACACGGUCCAGACUCCUACGGGAGGCAGCAGUGGGGAAUAUUGGACAAUGGGCGCAAGCCUGAUCCAGCCAUACCGCGUGGGUGAAGAAGGCCUUCGGGUUGUAAAGCCCUUUUGUUGGGAAAGAAAAGCAGCAGGUUAAUACCCCGCUGUUCUGACGGUACCCAAAGAAUAAGCACCGGCUAACUUCGUG